GUUUGGCACCUCGAUGUCGGCUCAUCACAUCCUGGGGCUGAAGUCGGUCCCAAGGGUAUGGCUGUUCGCCAUUUAAAGUGGUACGCGAGCUGGGUUUAGAACGUCGUGAGACAGUUCGGUCCCUAUCUGCCGUGGGCGUUGGAAGAUUGAAGGGGGCUGCUCCUAGUACGAGAGGACCGGAGUGGACGAACCUCUGGUGUUCGGGUUGUGUCGCCAGACGCAUUGCCCGGUAGCUAAGUUCGGAAUUGAUAAGCGCUGAAAGCAUCUAAGCGCGAAGCGAGCCCUGAGAUGAGUCUUCCCUGAUACUUUAAGUAUCCUAAAGGGUUGUUCGAGACUAGAACGUUGAUAGGCAGGGUGUGUAAGCGUUGUGAGGCGUUGAGCUAACCUGUACUAAUUGC
rnacentral:rRNA from 1 species